GCCUGCUUCUCUGAUGUUAGCGGCGGACGGGUGAGUAACACGUGGAUAACCUACCUAUAAGACUGGAGAGUUUUGAUAACUUCGGGAAACCGGAGCUAAUACCGGAUAAUAUUUUGAACCGCAUGGUUCAAAAGUGAAAGACGGUCUUGCUGAGAGCGUUGUCACUUAUAGAUGGAUCCGCGCUGCAUUAGCUAGUUGGUAAGGUAACGGCUUACCAAGGCAACGAUGCAGAGAUGGGGAGAGAGCGUUUAGGUGUCCGACCUGAGAGGGUGAUCGGCCACACUGGAACUGAGACACGGUCCAGACUCCUACGGGAGGCAGCAGUAGGGAAUCUUCCGCAAUGGGCGAAAGCCUGACGGAGCAACGCCGCGUGAGUGAUGAAGGUCUUCGGAUCGUAAAACUAAC
rnacentral:rRNA from 1 species